rnacentral:rRNA from 1 species
GCCGGCAGCUAGCUCUCUGCAACUCUCACAUGGUCGCCCUCUGAAGCUAAAGCAGGGCUGUGCACUGUCAGUACCUGGAUGAGAGACCACAUGGGAAAGCUAGGUUGCUGCUGGAA